UACGAAGGUCCCAAGCGUUAUCCGGAAUUACUGGGCGUAAAGGGCUCGUAGGUGGCCAACUAAGUCGGACGUGAAAUCCCUCAGCUUAACUGGGGAACUGCGUCCGAUACUGGAUGGCUUGAGUUUGGGAGAGGGAUGCGGAAUUCCAGGUGUAGCGGUGAAAUGCGUAGAUAUCUGGAGGAACACCGGUGGCGAAGGCGGCAUCCUGGACCGGUAUUGACGCUGAGGCGCGAAAGCCAGGGGAGCGAACGGG
rnacentral:rRNA from 1 species